CGUUGUACACACCGCCCGUCACACCACGAGAGUUUGUAACACCCGAAGUCGGUGGGGUAACCAUUAUGGAGCCAGCCGCCGAAGGUGGGACAGAUGAUUGGGGUG
rnacentral:rRNA from 1 species